AGAUUGAACGCUGGCGGCAUGCCUUACACAUGCAAGUCGAGCGGCAGCGCGGGGGCAACCCUGGCGGCGAGCGGCGAACGGGUGAGUAAUACAUCGGAACGUGUCCAGUAGUGGGGGAUAACCAGUCGAAAGAUUGGCUAAUACCGCAUACGAUCUACGGAUGAAAGCGGGGGACCGCAAGGCCUCGCGCUAUUGGAGCGGCCGAUGUCGGAUUAGCUAGUUGGCGGGUAAAAGCCCACCAAGGCAACGAUCCGUAGCUGGUCUGAGAGGACGACCAGCCACACUGGAACUGAGACACGGUCCAGACUCCUACGGGAGGCAGCAGUGGGGAAUUUGGACAAUGGGGGCAACCCUGAUCCAGCCAUGCCGCGUGAGUGAAGAAGGCCUUCGGGUUGUAAGAUCGUUCGGACGGGACGAACGGUCCGUAGACAACACCACGGACUAAGUGACGUACUCGCGAGAAGAAGACGACCGACUAAC
rnacentral:rRNA from 1 species